GACAAGUUCGCCUGGCUGCCACUCGCAAGUGUGUGUCCCCCCAGCUGUACAACUGCUCCUCCUUCUGUCACCCAGUGGGUGGAGAGCUCAGUGCUGAACUGGGCAUCUGCCAGUGCCAGGAGUAUGUCUCAGCAGAAGAGCUCUGUGAUGCCCAGUGUCUGGCCAGGGCCCCCCAACUUUCCCUGGCCUGGGGUUCCAGCAGAGAGCUGAUCCUCAAUGUGAAGAGUGAGGCAGGAGACAGUGACCAGAGGAUCGCUCAGCCAGUCACUACCCUGUGUACCAGAUGCAGCAUCUGUUUAACAGCAACCCCCACUGGGACUUUGGGGCCUUCAGGAGACUCAGCCACCUGGUACAAGAGACUCACCUCAACUUCUCAAGGUUUGCCCACCAGUUCCUAGAUCCAGGCACAUAUGUGUUUCGAGACAAUGGACUGCCUGAAAGCGUCAUCGUGGUGCUGGUGAAGAAGAAAGGAGUGGCCUGUGAUCCCAGUCUAUCCCCCGUACAGCCCUCCUCCCCGUAUCAGCUUACCAGGCAUGGGGUUCUCAGGCACAGGCUGCCAAACCUGGGCCCAGACUGGGCAGUGAUCACAGGAGAGCCAUUCCCUGUGAAGAUCCUAGAGGACUUCAGCAUCCGUACCCUCUACGACAAGCUUGAGGACCAGAGCCUGCAUGUGGCAGCCCAGCUGAACAAGCACAGGAGUGAUGCACUAGCCUUCUACAGGGGUGCAAGCCAGCAGCUCCAGGGCCUCAAGGCUGCACUGCCAGUGUCUCACUCCUGGACUUUCAGCCAGAGCUUGACAGAGUGA
rnacentral:lncRNA from 1 species